ensembl:lincRNA
CACAGCAGGCUGACUUCCACAUGGGCUGUGCCAACAGGAAUAUCAGGGGGUUCCUGUCACCAGAAUGUAAAUGACUUCUAUGAUUUCUACUGACACAAUUUGACUGGAGAUGAAAGAUGUUACAUAACUCUAAGCUCCCCUGUCACUGGGAAGAGCCAUGAUCAGAGACAUUUUUUGGCUUCUCCAGAAAAGACAAGUGUGUUGGUUGGCUGCCCGGCUAAGUGAGUUGAUAUUGUUUCCAGAAAUGACUGCCUGCCCUUCAGGAACUUUAUUAGUCUUCUUUUACCAGCACAGAAGAUCUGGAUUUUCUUCUAUAGGAUUCAGGCUGCAGCUCAGGUGGGAAGGUGCCAUGGAAGACCCCUGGACUCAGACCGAGAGCACUUUGGCUUGCUUGGCUCUGUGGUUAUUUGUAAAUACUUGAAUCACUUGUGAGGGAAGCUUGAUUUCUAACUGCACCAACGGUGGAUUUUGUCGGCACAAGGCACUAAAAUUCAAGUAAAAAACUAGGAAUUUGCAUCUCUGAGUAUGACUGGCAGACCACAGGACCCUCUCUCAUCUCCAAAUCCACUUCAUGACAAGAACAGUUUUGCCACCUGCCUGAGAUAUAUGAAGUGUGUCAUCAGCUGCUGAUGGAAGCUGCAAGGAAACAACAGUCCCCUGUUCAGAUAGGAUGCAGCAAUUUUCCACCCAACAGGAGUCACUGACACAUCUACAGGAGAAGAACUAGGCAAGUUCUGUCUGUGGCUUAUCCGUCAUAAGUCAACAAAGACUGCACUGGUUCUCAUUACAAAGUGCGUAAAUGUGUGUGUUGCUACCUCCUCCUACCCAUUUAUUUCCCUUCGGUGAGCUCCUUUGUACCUGGGGGAGCUUCAGCAGAACAUAGGUGUCAAAGAAUCUCAGGCAGGCAGAAACAAUGCGAGUUGAACACAGAAAGGGACAGAGCAGCGUGACUUGGGAAAACAGAGUUCAGCUAUUCAACCCCAAGAACGUUCCCUGAUGGAGAAGAAGAAGGAUGGCAUGAGGUAAAAUAUUAAAAACUGGAAUACGAGGUUGAUAAACUACAGAAUUCCUUGGUUCAGAGAUAACUUGAGUUAUUGCACAGGAUUUGAGUUCAUUGAAAAAUGCUUGUAUUCAUUCAUGACCUUCAAUCAAAGGGAUAAGAAUUAUAUAUGUAUAUAUACCAGAUACCCAGAAGAAGGAUGGCUGGGUCAACUGGAACCUCUAGUCCCAGCUCUUUGAGGUAUCUCCAUAUUGAUUUCCACAGUGGUUUCACCAGUCUGCACUCCCACCAACAAUGGAGAAGGGUUCCUUUCUCCCCACAACAUCACCAACAUCUCUUAUUGGUUGAUUUCUUGGUAGCAGCCGUUCUUUGUGGGUGAUGUGGAAUCUCAGUGUUGUUUUCAUCUGCAUCUGUCGAAUGACCAGUGAUGUGGAACAUUUUUUAAUAUAUUUAUUUGCUGCUUUCACUUCUUUGUCUGAGAAUUGGCUGUUCAUUUCAGAUGCCCAUUUUUGAAUCGGGUCUUUAUAUUUGAUGGGGGGGCUGGUUGUUUUGAGUUCUUUAUAUAUUCUAGAUAAUAGUCCUUUGUCUGAGGAGUAGCUGGUGAAAAUUUUUUUUCCCACAUUGUAGGUUGUCUCUUAGUUCUAUUGAUGGUUUCUUUUGCAGUGCAGAAGCUAAGAUAAUAUAAGAUAAGCUAAUAAGAUCCCAGUUGUUGAUUCUUUCUGCUAGUUCCCGUGCUACUGAGUAUUUGUUCAUAAAGUCUUUUCCUAUGUCAAUGUCUUCAAGAGUUCUGCCUAACUCAUCUUCCAGCAAGUUUAGUGUUUCUGUUUUAAUAUCUAGAUAUUUAAUCGACUUGGAUUUUAAUUUAGUGCAUGGUGAAAGAUAAGGGUCUACUUUUAAUCUUUGGCAGGUUGAGAUCCAGUUUUUCCAACAUCAUUUAGUAAAGAGGCCAAGAAUUAAAAUAAUCAUGCCAGAGUGAUAUACACACACACAUGUUUAUAGUGGCGCAGUUUGUAAUAGCUAAAACUUGGAAACAGCCUAUUUGCCCAUCAGGUGGAC